CAAAGCAGGCGUGUAAAAGGCUUAAGUACUCUACACAACGAAUUGGACCACAAUUUCCUUUCAAUUUCAACUUCAAUUUGAAUUCCCCAAAUCAAACCUCCAAAAUCCCCAAGGUAUUUUUCUCUGUUUUUCUUUUUGUUCAUGUGUCAAUUUCAGUCUGAGAAAAAUUCAAUUCUCACACACAACAACCAUGUCCUCACCAUCACCAUCGCCAUCGCCGGAAAAGCUCUCUCUCCUCUCUCCGACGCGGUGGUCACGGUCGGUGACGGAGACAGUGAACGCCUCUCACAAGCUGGUGAUCAGAGGCUACUCUCUCGCCAAAGGCAUGGGAGUCGGAAAACACAUCGCCAGCGACACAUUCACCGUCGGAGGGUACCAAUGGGCCAUCUACUUCUACCCUGAUGGCAAGAACCCUGAGGACAAUUCAAUGUACGUCUCUGUUUUCAUCGCUCUCGCUAGCCAUGGCACCAAUGUUCGAGCUUUGUUUGAAUUGACUCUUCUUGAUCAGAGCGGUAAGGGCAAUCACAAGGUUCAUAGCCAUUUCGAUCGAUCUCUUGAGAGUGGACCUUAUACUCUCAAGUACAGAGGCAGUAUGUGGGGGUAUAAGCGGUUCUUCAGACGGGCUAUGCUUGAGACAUCGGAUUUCCUGAAGGAUGAUUGCUUGAAAAUAAAUUGCACUGUUGGUGUUGUGGUUUCAGCUAUAGAUUGUUCGAGAUUAAACUUGAUACAGAUCCCUGAUUCUGAUAUUGGAGCACAUUUUGGAAUGUUGUUGGAGAAUGAGGAAGGUUCAGAUGUUAUUUUUGUGGUAGCUGGAGAAAAGUUUCAUGCUCAUAAGCUGGUAUUGGUUGCUCGAUCUCCUGUAUUCCAAACAGAACUUUUAAAUGUAAAAGAAGAAGAUUGUCAUGAAAUUGUUGUUGAAAACAUAGAGCCUAUGGUUUUUAAGGCUGUGUUGCAUUUUAUAUACAGAGAUUCUCUGAUUGACAAUGAAGAGUUGGUAGUGUCAAGUUCAUCUUGCAUUCCAUCUGUAUCUGACACAUUUGUUGUGAAGUUGCUAGCUGCAGCAGACAGAUAUGAUUUGGCUCGACUUAGACUGUUGUGUCAAUCCUUACUCUGCAAGGAUAUAUCAGUAGAUAGUGUUGCCAAUAUUUUGGCCCUGGCCGACCGCUAUCAUGCUUUGGAUUUAAAAGAAGUUUGCCUAAAAUUUGCUGCUGAAAAUCUUAUAGCUGUAAUGUGCUCAGAUGGUUUCAAAUAUCUGAAAGAAAAUUACCCGCUGCUGCAAUCAGAGCUCCUGAAGACAGUGGCCGGAUGUGAUGAGGAAGAAUUUAGCGGUGAUGGUGGGAAGACAAGAAGUGCGUGGGCCCAGUUUUGUGAUGGUGAUGAUCCUAAUGAUGGUAGCAUAGGGCAGCAAACAUGAGAAUGCAAAACCGAGUGUGGAAGUUCAAAGCUUGCGGAUCCAGCUUUUUCCGGGUGCUGCUGUAUGCUACACAGGGCCGGAUUGGUCUGGGAAAGGAGAGGAGAGGAGUCAUCGGCCCUGACUGGGCUGGGACCGGAAAGGAGAGGAGGGGAGGUAGGUGCAAUGCAAAUUGCCUUUGAAAUCUAACAUUAGGUGAAUUUGUCGAGGGAAAAGAAAAAAGAAAAAAUAUAUAUAUAUGUUAUGGUAGGAAAUGAGGAGAAAAUAAUAGAUGUAUGUCAAAAUAUUCCGUCCAUUUAAACACCUAAACGAUCUUAUUUUCUUUUCA